GUUUGACCAAGGGAACCGGCAAGGGUGCAGCAAUGGCAAGAAAAGUGCAAACCUGUCCGUCCUGUGCACGUACAACGAUGCACGUGUUGACAGACGCGAAAGCAAAAUGGAACUGAGGGAACGGUCCUUCCCGCUGUUGGACUUCCACUGCUGCCAUGAUUUCUAGGUAGCUGAAGCCCACCAAGGGGGGAAGGUGGGAUCCCUUACCUCUAUGGGAGGUUUUGGAGAGAGGCUGCUGUUCUUCAGGGAGGUAGAUGCUGAUGGGACAUUCCAGGCCUUCGGGUUGGUUGACAAUGUGGUGGCAGCAUGAGGUUGGGAGCCCAAGGAGCUGAUGCAAGACGGAUGCUCUGGAGCUGUGUUGAGGAGCAUCCUGAAGCAUUAGAACUAAAAUGAUCAAUAUGCUCGUUUAACUUGCAACUGUUGUAUUACACCAAGACUUCUGCUCAGCUUCUGCACACAGCAGGCUGUGCGAAUUAUGUGAAUUUCUAUGCCGUUGCACCCUUGCUACAUGUGAGGUGCUUGCUCUCUUCCUGAGGGGCCUGGGGAGAAACCUGUCAUGUUUCUGUGCAAGGAUGAUGGUGCUCAAUUGGGCAAGGAGUUGGAGUCGAUAAAUAAAAAAUACU